rnacentral:piRNA from 1 species
UAGCUUUAAAAGUGAUAGGGAUGGAUGG